GUCAGCAAUGGUGCUGCUUCUGCUUUCCUGUCUCGUCUUCUCAACUCUGCUCAACCUUGCUCGAGGUAACGUCAAAAUCUAUGUCAUCAAUUCUCACGUACAUAUGUUUUUUUUUUUAUUAUUUAAAAUUAUAUUUAAAUACUUUGAAAAUUAUGACGUAAUAAUUUUAAUUAUUUUAUUUAAAAAAAUUAGGAGAUCCACCACAUUGUCCAGAAACAGAGAACAAUAUUCCAGGACCAUGCGAGACCGACGGAAGCCAUCAGUGCCUGGUUGAUUUCUUGAGAACUAAAGGCGCAGGAAGUAUGCCCAAGAACUGUAAAUGCACCAAUACGGG
rnacentral:lncRNA from 1 species